rnacentral:misc_RNA from 1 species
CUCUACCAUAUUACAUUUUUGCUUGCCAUUUGCUCUUUGAUGAAAGAAGCCAAUAUUGUUGUCACCAUCCUUCUACUAAGAAACCCCAGAUCUCUACAUCCACAUCAUUUCCUCCAAUUGAAGAGUUGACUCAAGCUCCCUUUUUAAACUUCAAAACUCAUUCGCAACCUCUUCAGAAUGCAAUUGAUGCUGCAAAAAAUUCAUUCGGUCCCUUAUGUGCUUUAAGUGUCUAUUAAUAUUCCUAAAAGUCUCCUUCUUCCAACGUUGAAGACCACGACCACAAUUAGCAAUUUUC